rnacentral:rRNA from 1 species
GAAAUUCGCCUUCAUGAAGCCGGAAUUGCUAGUAAUGGCAGGUCAGCAUACUGCCGUGAAUACGUUUCCGGGCCUUGUACACACCGCCCGUCACACCAUGAGAGUUGGGGAUACCCGAAGCCUGUGAGCUAACUAUUUAUAGGAGCAGNAGUCGAAGGUAGAAUCAAUGAUUGGGGUGAAGUCGUAACAAGGUAAC